rnacentral:misc_RNA from 1 species
GAUGAAGAACGCAUCGAAACGCGAUAUGUAAUGUGAAUUGCAGAAUUCAGUGAAUCAUCGAAUCUUUGAACGCACAUGGCGCCUUCCAGUAUCCUGGGAGGCAUGCCUGUCCGAGCGUCGUUUCAACCCUCGAGCCCCCGUGGCCCGGCGUUGGGGAUCUGCCCAGGCAGUCCCCGAAAACCAGUGGCGGACCCGUUACAGGCCCUUCCCUUGCGUAGUAGCAUUCGCCUCGCAUCGGGAGCCGGCGGGCUUCCAGCCUCUAAACCCCCAUCAAGUCCGCCCCGGCGGCACCAAGGUUGACCUCGGAUCAGGUAGGAAUACCCGCUGAACUUAAGCAUAUCAAUAAGCGGAGGA